AUGCUUCUCCUAAAGACUAAGCCAUGCAUGCCUUCGAAUACGAGGAAGCAAUUCUCUCUGAAUCUGCGAACGGCUCCGCAAACCAGUUGUAAACUAUAGCAAGCAAGCCCGGGGCCCCUUCACGGGGGUUUCGGGCAACACGGAUAACCCUGGUAAUUCUGAGGCUAAUACGAGAACGUAAUACCUGGCCGACCGGGCAACUGGAAGGCUGGGAGACGUGUGCGUGGGUCGCGAGAAUACAACCGGGAAUGGGCA
rnacentral:rRNA from 1 species